rnacentral:rRNA from 1 species
AGCGAACGCUGGCGGCAGGCUUAACACAUGCAAGUCGAGCGGGCACUUUCGGGUGUCAGCGGCGGACGGGUGAGUAACGCGUGGGAACGUGCCCUCUGUUCGGAAUAACUCAGGGAAACUUGAGCUAAUACCGGAUAAGCCCUUUUGGGGAAAGGCUUGCUGCCGGAGGAUCGGCCCGCGUCUGAUUAGCUAGUUGGUGAGGUAACGGCUCACCAAGGCGACGAUCAGUAGCUGGUCUGAGAGGAUGAUCAGCCACACUGGGACUGAGACACGGCCCAGACUCCUACGGGAGGCAGCAGUGGGGAAUAUUGGACAAUGGGCGCAAGCCUGAUCCAGCCAUGCCGCGUGAGUGAUGAAGGCCUUAGGGUUGUAAAGCUCUUUUAUCCGGGACGAUAAUGACGGUACCGGAGGAAUAAGCCCCGGCUAACUUCGUG